rnacentral:rRNA from 1 species
UACGGAAGGCAGCAGUGGGGAAUAUUGCACAAUGGGCGCAAGCCUGAUGCAGCCAUGCCGCGUGUAUGAAAAAGGCCUUCGGGUUGUAAAGUACUUUCAGUCGUGAGGAAGGUGUUAAGGUUAAUAACCUUAGCAAUUGACGUUAGCGACAGAAGAAGCACCGGCUAACUCCGUGCCAGCAGCCGCGGUAAUACGGAGGGUGCGAGCGUUAAUCGGAAUUACUGGGCGUAAAGGGCACGCAGGCGGUUAAUUAAGUUGGAUGUGAAAUCCCCGGGCUUAACCUGGGAAUGGCAUUCAAGCUGGUUAGCUAGAGUCUUGUAGAGGGGGUAGAAUUCCAUGUGUAGCGGUGAAAUGCGUAGAGAUGUGGAGGAAUACCGGUGGCGAAGGCGGCCCCUGGACAAAGGACUGACGCUCAUGUGCGAAAGCGUGGGGAGCAAACAGGGAUUAGAUACC